rnacentral:tRNA from 1 species
CAUAUUAAAGUUUGUUUUGAAUUUUUCUUUUACACUGAAAGGGGCUCUUUAGUGAGUAAUAUGAAAG